rnacentral:rRNA from 1 species
AUUGAACGCUGGCGGCGUGCUUAACACAUGCAAGUCGAUCGGUAACAGGUGUAGCAAUACAUGCUGACGAGAGGCGGACGGGUGAGGAACGCUUGGGAAUCUGCCUAUCAGCGGGGGACAACCCGGGGAAACCCGGGCUAAUACCGCACACGCUCUACGGAGGAAAGCCGGGGACCGCAAGGCCUGGCACUGAUAGAUGAGCCCAAGUCGGAUUAGCUAGUUGGCGGGGUAACGGCCCACCAAGGCGACGAUCCGUAGCUGGUCUGAGAGGACGAUCAGCCACACCGGAACUGAGACACGGUCCGGACUCCUACGGGAGGCAGCAGUGGGGAAUAUUGGACAAUGGGCGAAAGCCUGAUCCAGCGACGCCGCGUGGGUGAAGAAGGCCUGCGGGUUGUAAAGCCCUUUCGGUAGGGACGAAAGCUCUUGCCCUAACAAGGCAGGAGGUUGACUUAACCUACAUAAGAAGCACCGGCUAACUCUGUGCCAGCAGCCGCAGUAACAC